rnacentral:rRNA from 1 species
AUACGGAGGGGACAAGCGUUAUUCGGAAUCACUGGGCGUAAAGGACGCGUAGGCGGGUUAUUAAGUCGGGUGUGAAAUCCAAUGGCUUAACCAUUGAACUGCAUUCGAAACUGAUAACCUAGAGUAUGGAAGGGGCAGGUGGAAUUAGUGGUGUAGGGGUAAAAUCCGUAGAUAUCACUAGGAAUACCGAAAGCGAAGGCGACCUGCUGGGACAUUACUGACGCUGAGGCGUGAAAGCGUGGGGAGCAAACAGGAUUAGAUACCCCGGUAGUCC